GGUUUCGUAGCUCAGCUGGUAGAGCGCUUGUCACGUCGAGGCAUGGUGGUUCUAUUGCUGGUUCGAAUCCGGUCGAAGCUC